AGAUUGAACGCUGGCGGCAUGCCUAACACAUGCAAGUCGAACGGGAGUAGCAAUACUCUAGUGGCGGACGGGUGAGGAAUACGUAGGAAUUUGCCCUUAAGUGGGGGAUAACCCGGGGAAACCCGGAUUAAUACCGCAUGACCUCGAAAGAGCAAAGUGGGGGAUCGCAAGACCUCACGCUUUUGGAGAAGCCUACGUCGGAUUAGCUAGUUGGUGAGGUAAUGGCUCACCAAGGCGACGAUCCGUAACUGGUCUGAGAGGAUGAUCAGUCACACCGGAACUGACGACACGGUCCGGACUCCUACGGGAGCAGCGAGGUGGGAAUAGUGGACAAGUGGGCGCAAGCCUGACUCCAGCAAGUCGGCGCGUUGUGUGAAGGAAGGUCCGUUACGGUUAGUAAAGUACUACGUUUAAAGUUAGGGAAAGAAAAACGUCGACUACUAACGACAGUACGUAGUUACGUA
rnacentral:rRNA from 1 species